UACAUGUGGGGCAAGCGUUGUUCGGAAUUACUGGGCGUAAAGCGUGCGCAGGCGGUUUUGUAAGUCUGACGUGAAAUCCCCGGGCUUAACCUGGGAAUUGCGUUGGAGACUGCAAGGCUGGAGUCUGGCAGAGGGGGGUAGAAUUCCACGUGUAGCAGUGAAAUGCGUAGAGAUGUGGAGGAACACCGAUGGCGAAGGCAGCCCCCUGGGUCAAGACUGACGCUCAUGCACGAAAGCGUGGGGAGCAAACAGG
rnacentral:rRNA from 1 species